rnacentral:lncRNA from 1 species
UGUAACUCUGCAAUUACCACAGGAUAAAAUAAUAAACUACACAAAUUAAUGAAUACAUCUUACGAAAGUCCACCCAAUUGUCUCGUUAUGCCCCAGAGAUGAUAGUUGGGCCAAGGGCUAGAUAAGCAAGUUUACAUCAGGAGUUCCAGACUUAGUAAAGAAGGAGUGCACUAUGGACAUGCUGAUUGGAGACAUGGACAUUUCAAGGUUAAUAACUCAUUAUAGGUAGAUAGAGGAGGACAAACUGAAAGAGGGAGUAUAGUAGACGAGUAAGAGGCUAAGAUGAUAAACUUUGAGGAUAGCCAUCAAAGGAGAAAAA